rnacentral:rRNA from 1 species
CUACGGAGGGUGCAAGCGUUAUCCGGAAUCAUUGGGUUUAAAGGGUCCGCAGGCGGAUUAAUAAGUCAGUGGUGAAAUCCUCUCGCUCAACGAGAGAACUGCCAUUGAAACUGUUAGUCUUGAAUUCGGUCGAAGUAGGCGGAAUGUGUCAUGUAGCGGUGAAAUGCAUAGAUAUGACACAGAACACCGAUAGCGAAGGCAGCUUACUAGACCUGGAUUGACGCUCAUGGACGAAAGCGUGGGGAGCGAACAGGAUUAGAAACCCUAGUAGUCC